rnacentral:rRNA from 1 species
GGAUCCAGACUUUGAUUCUGGCUCAGGACGAACGCUGGCGGCGCGCCUAACACAUGCAAGUCGAACGAGCGAGAGAGAGCUUGCUUUCUCGAGCGAGUGGCGAACGGGUGAGUAACGCGUGAGGAACCUGCCUCAAAGAGGGGGACAACAGUUGGAAACGACUGCUAAUACCGCAUAAGCCCACGACCCGGCAUCGGGUAGAGGGAAAAGGAGCAAUCCGCUUUGAGAUGGCCUCGCGUCCGAUUAGCUAGUUGGUGAGGUAACGGCCCACCAAGGCGACGAUCGGUAGCCGGACUGAGAGGUUGAACGGCCACAUUGGGACUGAGACACGGCCCAGACUCCUACGGGAGGCAGCAGUGGGGAAUAUUGCACAAUGGGGGAAACCCUGAUGCAGCGACGCCGCGUGGAGGAAGAAGGUCUUCGGAUUGUAAACUCCUGUUGUUGAGGAAGAUAAUGACGGUACUCAACAAGGAAGUGACGGCUAACUACGUGCCAGCAGCCGCGGUAAAACGUAGGUCACAAGCGUUGUCCGGAAUUACUGGGUGUAAAGGGAGCGCAGGCGGGAAGACAAGUUGGAAGUGAAAUCCAUGGGCUCAACCCAUGAACUGCUUUCAAAACUGUUUUUCUUGAGUAGUGCAGAGGUAGGCGGAAUUCCCGGUGUAGCGGUGGAAUGCGUAGAUAUCGGGAGGAACACCAGUGGCGAAGGCGGCCUACUGGGCACCAACUGACGCUGAGGCUCGAAAGUGUGGGUAGCAAACAGGAUUAGAUACCCUGGUAGUCCACACUGUAAACGAUGAUUACUAGGUGUUGGAGGAUUGACCCCUUCAGUGCCGCAGUUAACACAAUAAGUAAUCCACCUGGGGAGUACGACC